rnacentral:lncRNA from 1 species
UAUUUCAAGCUCAAGUUAUUAGGGUAUUAGUAGUUAUGGCCGUAUGUUGUACUUUGUCUUUUUCAAAUUAUGCUAAUUUGAAUUUUUGAGUAAUGAGUUGUGACUAUUUUGCAUUUAUUUUGUUUAGUGAGGACUAUUGCUAUUGACUAUCGGACUCAAGUGGGUGUACCGUGCUAAUAGCGAUGCCUAGGCCCAAGUACUCUCAAAUCCAUAUCUCCGCGCCUUUGAAUGUUGUGGUACGUAACUGUGGCUUUAAAUUUUGUAUAUUUAUCUUGGGCCUUAAUUAACCUGAACUUGAAGUUCCCCGGGUUCAAUUUCAAGCUCAAGUUAAUUAGGUAUUAUUAGACAAGGCCUUAUGUUUUAAAUACGCUUUGGCCCUUUGUCAAAAUUAGCUGAUUUGAGUUUUUUGUGUAAUAUGUAGUGACUGUUUUUGCAUUUGGUCUGUUUUGCGAGGACUUUGCUAUUGACUAUACCCGUAUUCAACUUCAAGUCGGUAUUUAGGUACUUGUUUUUGUUGUUAUUAUUUUAUGUUGUUUUUUUAUUUAUAGCAUGAUUUUAAUGUUUGAGUACGAGUGAGUGACUGCCUUUGCUUUUUUGUUUUGUCGAGGACUAAUACUGUUGACUAUCGGGUUUAAAUUUCAUCAGCUCAAGUGUAUUAGGGUAAUUAUUAGUUAUUUCCGUAUGCUUUACUUUGUCUUUUUCAAAUAUGCUAAUUUGAAUUUUUGAGUAAUGAUUUGGCUGACUAUUUUCAUUGAUUUUUUGUUUAGUGAGGACUAUUGCUAUUGACUAUCCGGACUCAAGUUGGUGUUACCGUGGUAAAGCGAUGCCUGGCCCAAUACUCUCAACCAUAUCCCACCCUUUGAAUGUUGUGGUCGUAACUGAUGGCUUAAAUUUGUUGUCAUUUAUUCUUGGGCCUUAAUUAACCCUAACGUGAAUUUCCCCGGUUCAAUUUCAAGCGUCAUGUUAAUUAGGAAUUAUUAGACAAGGCCCUUUAUUUAAACUUUGUCCUUUUUACAAGUUAUCUGAUUUGAGUUUUGUUGUGUAAUAUGUAUGACUGUUUUUGCUUUGUUUUCGUUUUCGAGGAACUAUUCUCUUGACUACCGGAUUCAACUUCAGCUCGAGUUAUUUUAGGUACUUUUUGUUAGUACUUUAUGUUGUUUUUUUAUCUACAAGCAUGAUUUUAAAAUGUUUUGAGUAACGAGUAGUGACAGCUUUUUGCAUUUUGUUUUGUUUUGGCGAGGACUAAUACUGUUGACUAUCGGUUGUUAAUUUCAAGCUCGAAGUUAUUAGGGUAUUAUUAGUUAUGGCCGUUAUGUUGACUUGUCUUUUUCAAAUAUGCUAAUUGAUUUUUGAGUAAUGAGUUUGACAUUUUGCAUUAUUUUUGUUUAGUGAGGACUAUUGCUAUGGACUAUCGGGGACUGGAAUCAAGUGGGUGUACGUACUAAAUAGCGAUGCCUAGGCCCAAGUUCUCAAAUCCAUAUCUCCGCGCCUUUGAAUGUUUGUGGUACGUAACUGUUGACUUUAAAUUUUGUAAUUACUUGGGCCGUAAGUUACACCUGAACUGGAAGUCCCGGGUUCAAUUUCAAGCUCAAGUUAAUAGUAUUAUUAGACAGGACUUUAUGUUGUACUUGUAUUUUAAAAUUAUGACUGAUUUGAGUUUUUGUCUGUAGUAAGAUGUAGUGAACGUUUUUGCAUUGUCGUUUGCGAGGACUAUGCCCUAUUGACUACCGGAUUCAACUUAAAGUGCGAGUUAUUUAGGUUAACUUUUUGUUAGUACUUUAUGUGUGUUUUUAUUUAGAGACAUGAUUUAUGUUUGAGUAACGAGUAGUGACUGCUUGCAUUUUUUUGUUUUGCGUGAGGACUAAUUCUGUUGAAUAGUCGGGGUUUAAUUCAAGUCAAGUUAUUAGGGAUUAGUAGUUAUGGCCGCAUGUGUACUUGUCUUUUUCAAAUUAUGCCUAAUUGAAUUUUUGAGAGUAAUAGUGUGACUGUAUUUUGCCUUAUUUUGUUUAGUGAGGACUAAUGCUAUUGACUAUCGGAUCAAGUGGGUUUGUACCGUGCUAAUAGCGAUGCCUAAGGCCCAAAGUACUCUCAAAUCCAUAUACUCCGCGCCUUUGAAUGUUGUGGGGAGUACGUAAUGUGCUUUAAAUUUUGUUAUAUUAUCUUUGGCCUUAAUAACCUUGAACUGGAAGUUCCCGGGUUAAUUCAAGCUCAAGUUAUUAGGUAUAUUAGACAGGCCUUAUGUUGUGUACUUGUCUUUUUAAAAUUAUGCUGAUUUGAGUUUUUGUGUAAUAUGUAGUGACUGUUUUGCAUUUGUUCUGUUUUGCGAGGACUAUUGCUAUUGACUACCGGAUUCAACUUCAAGCUCGAGUUAUUUAGGUACUUUUUGUUAGUACUUUAUGUUGUUUUUUAUUUAUAGCAUGAUUUUAAUGUUUGAGUAACGAGUAGUGACUGCUUUGCAUUUUUUUUGUUUUGCGAGGACUAAUACUGUUGACUAUCGGGUUUAAUUUCAAGCUCAAGUUAUUAGGGUAUUAGUAGUUAUGGCCGUAUGCUGUACUUUGUCUUUUCCAAUAGCUAUUUGAAUUUUUGAGUAAUGAGUUGUGACUAUUUUGCAUUAUUUUGUUUUAGUGAGGACUAUUGCCUAUUGAUAUCGACUCAAGUGGGUGUACCGUGGUAAUAGCGCUGCCUAGGACCAAGUACUCUCAAACCAUAUCUCCACGCCUUAAUGUUGUGGUACUUAACUGUGGCUUUAAAUUUUGCUAUAUUUAUCUUGGGCCUUAAUUAACCUGAAACUUGAAGUCCACGGGUUCAAUUCAAGCUCAUUUAAUUAGGUAUAGUGACACGGGCCUUAUUAUUAAAAUUUGUCUUUAAAAUUAUGCUGAUUUGAGAUUUGGUUAAUAUGUAGUGACUGUUUUGCAUUUGUUCUGUUUUGCGAGGACUAUUGCUAUUGACUACCGGAUUCAACUUCAAGCUCGAGCUAUUUAGGUACUUUUUGUUAGUACUUUAUGUUGUUUUUUAUUUAUAGCAUGAUUUUAAUGUUUGAGUAACGUGUAGUGACUGCUUUGCAUUUUUUGUUUUGUUUUGCGAGGACUAAUACUGUUGACUAUCGGGUUUAAUUUCAAGCUCAAGUUAUUAGGGUAUUAGUAGUUAUGGCCGUAUGUGUACUUUGUCUUUUUCAAAUUACAGCUAUGUUGAAUUUGUGAGUACUGAGUUGCUGACUAUUUGCAUUGAUUUUGUUAUUUGAGGACUAUUGCUAUGACUAUCGGACCUCAAGUGGGUGUGUACCGUGCUAAUAGCGAUGCCUAGGCCAAAGUACUUCUCAAACCCAUAUCUCAAAGGCAUUUGAAUGUUGUUUUUACGAAACUGUGGCUUAAUUUUGUAUAUUUAUCUUGGGCCUUAAUUAACCUGAACUUGAAGUUUCCCGGGUUCAAUUUCAAGCUCAAGUUAAUUAGGAAUUAUUAGACAAGGCCUUAUGUUAAACUUUGUCUUUUUAAAAUUAUGCUGAUUUGAGUUUUUGUGUAAGAUGUAGUGACUGUUUUGCAUUUGUUCUGUUUUACGAGGACUAUUGCUAUUGACUACCGGAUUCAACUUAAAGUUCGAGUUAUUUAGGUACUUUUUGUUAGACUUGAUGUUGGUUUUAUUUACAGAAUGAUUUUAAUGUUGAGUAACGAGUAGUGAUGUUGCAUUUUUUUUUUUUGUUUUGCGAGGACUAGUUCUGUUGACUAUCGGGUUUAAUUCAAGCUCAAGUUUUAGGGUAUUAGUAGUUAUGGCCGUAUUAGGUUGUACUUUGUCCUUUUUCAAAUUACGCUAAUUUGGGAAUUUUGAGUAUGAGUUGUGACUAUUUUGCAGUUAUUUUGUUAGUGAGGACUAUUGCUAUGAACUAUCGGACUCAAGGGUGCUUGUACCGUGCUAAUAGCGAUGCCUGGGCCCAAGUAUUCGCAAAUCAAUAUUCUCCGCGCCUUUGAAUGUUUGUGGACGUAAAUGUUGCUUUAAAUUUUGGAUAUUUAUCUGGUCCUAAUUAACCUGAACUUGAAGUUCCCGGGUUGUUCAAUUUCAAGCUCAAGUUAUUAGGUAUUAUUAGACAGGCCUUAUGUUGUACUUUGUCGGUUUUAAAAAUUAUGCUGAUUUGAGUUUUUGUGUAAUAUGUAUGUGUGACGGGUUUGAUUUUGUCUGUUUUGCGAGACUAUGCUAGACUACCGGAUUCAACUAAAGCUCGCGAUUUAGGUACUUUUUGUUAGUACUUUAUGUGUUUUUUAUUUAUUGCAAUGAUUUUAAUGUUUGAGUAACGAGUUAGUAGUGACUGCGUUUGCAUUUUUUUUGUUUUGCGGAGGAGGACUUAAUAAUGUUGACUAUCGGGUUUAAUUUCAAGCCUCAAGUUAUUAGGGUAUAGUAGUUAUGGUCCGUAUUGCUGUACUUGUCUUUUUAAAAUUAUGGCUAAUUUGAAUUUUGAGUAAUAGUAAUGAGUUGUGGACGAUUUUGCAUUAUUUUGUUUAGUGAGGACUAUUGCUAUUGACUAUCGGACUCUCAAGUCGGGGUGUACCGUGGUAAUAGCGAUGCCUAGCCCAAGUACUCUCAAACAUAUCUCCACGCCUUUGAAUGUUGUCGGUACUUAACUGUGGCUUAAAUUUUGUAUAUUUAUCUUGGUAGCUUAAUUAACUGAACUUGAAGUUCCCGGGUUCACUUUCAAGAUCAUGUAAUUGAGGUAUUAUUAGACAAGGCCUA